rnacentral:rRNA from 1 species
UACAGAGGAGCCAAGCGUUGUCCGGAUUGACUGGGCGUAAAGCGCACGCAGGCGGAUGCGCGCGUGGGGUGUGAAAUCUGGCCGCUUAACGGCCAGGCGCCAUCCCAUACGGCGCGUCUGGAGUGAUGCAGAGGUCGGUGGAAUUGCCGGUGUAGUGGUGAAAUGCGUAGAGAUCGGCAGGAACACCCAGGGGGAAACCAGCCGACUGGGCAUCGUACUGGACGCUGAGGUG